rnacentral:rRNA from 1 species
GACGUAGGGCGCGAGCGUUGUCCGGAUUUAUUGGGCGUAAAGAGCUCGUAGGCGGCUCAUUGCGUCAACCGUGAAAUCCUGCUGCUCAACGGCAGGUCUGCGGUUGAUACGGGUGGGCUGGAGUUCGGUAGGGGAGACUGGAAUUCCUGGUGUAGCGGUGAAAUGCGCAGAUAUCAGGAAGAACACCCGUGGCGAAAGCGGCUCUCUGGAACGGUACUGACGCUGAGACGCGAAAGCGUGGGGAGCGAACAGG